GACGAACGCUGGCGGCGUGCCUAACACAUGCAAGUCGAACGAGGUCCAUGGGUGCUUGCACCCGGAAGACCUAGUGGCGAACGGGUGAGUAACACGUGAGAAACCUGCCCCAGACUCUGGGAUAACCCAAGGAAACUUGAGCUAAUACCGGAUAUUCUCCUUUGGUCGCAUGGCCAGUUGAGGAAAGUUUUUCGGUCUGGGAGGGUCUCGCGUCCUAUCAGCUUGUUGGUGAGGUAACGGCUCACCAAGGCGACGACGGGUAGCUGGUUUGAGAGAACGAUCAGCCACACUGGAACUGAGACACGGUCCAGACUCCUACGGGAGGCAGCAGUGGGGAAUCUUGCGCAAUGGGCGAAAGCCUGACGCAGCAACGCCGCGUGCGGGAUGAAGGCCUGCGGGUUGUAAACCGCUUUCAGCAGGGACGAAAAUGACGGUACCUGCAGAAGAAGCUCCGGCUAACUACGUGCCAGCCGCCGCCGUAA
rnacentral:rRNA from 1 species